rnacentral:snRNA from 1 species
GUGCUCGCUUUGGCAGCACAUUUACUAAAACUAGAACGAUACAGAUUAGCAUGGCCCCUGCCCAGAGAUGACAUGGGGAUAAAGAAAAGAAAAAGCAGAAA